rnacentral:rRNA from 1 species
UACGUAGGGACCGAGCGUUGUCCGGAAUCAUUGGGCGUAAAGAGCGUGUAGGCGGCCUUUUAAGUCCUGCGUGAAAUCCUGCGGCUCAACCGCAGACGGUCGUGGGAAACUGGAAGGCUAGAGUGCGGGAGAGGAGAGUGGAAUUCCCGGGUGUAGCGGUGAAAUGCGUAGAUAUCUGGAGGAACACCGGUGGCGAAGGCGGCAUCCUGGACCGGCAUUGACGCUGAGGCGCGAAAGCUAGGGGAGCAAACGGG